rnacentral:rRNA from 1 species
UACGGAGGGUGCAAGCGUUAUCCGGAUUCACUGGGGUUAAAGGGUGCGUAGGAGGGCAGGUAAGUCAGUGGUGAAAUCUCCAAGCUUAACUUGGAAACUGCCGUUGAUACUAUCUGUCUUGAAUAUUGUGGAGGUGAGCGGAAUAUGUCAUGUAGCGGUGAAAUGCUUAGAUAUGACAUAGAACACCAAUUGCGAAGGCAGCUCGCUACACAUAUAUUGACUCUGAGGCACGAAAGCGUGGGGAUCAAACAGG